rnacentral:snoRNA from 1 species
GUUCCAUGAUGAGGACAAUUUUUAAUCAUCAUGUUAAAACGUUCAAAGGCCUCAUGGAACAUUUCACCUUGUUGUUGUUGAAAACUCCUCAACCCUUUCCUAGCAUC